GCAAGUCGAGCGAGAAAGCUCUCUUCGGAGAGUGAGUAGAGCGGCGCACGGGUGAGUAACGCGUGGAUGAUCUACCCUGAAGAUCGGGAUAACAGUUGGAAACGACUGCUAAUACCGUAUAUCCUGCAUAUUUAACUUUAUGUGGUAAAGAUGGCCUCUAUUUAUAAGCUAUCGCUUUGGGAUGAGUCCGCGUCUCAUUAGAUUGUUGGUGGGGUAAUGGCCUACCAAGCCGACGAUCCAUAGCUGGUUUGAGAGGAUGAUC
rnacentral:rRNA from 1 species